rnacentral:rRNA from 1 species
UACGAAGGGGGCUAGCGUUGCUCGGAAUUACUGGGCGUAAAGCGUGCGCAGGCGGCUUUGCAAGACAGAUGUGAAAUCCCCGGGCUUAACCUGGGAACUGCAUUUGUGACUGCAUGGCUGGAGUGCUGGAGAGGGGGAUGGAAUUCCGCGUGUAGCAGUGAAAUGCGUAGAUAUGCGGAGGAACACCGAUGGCGAAGGCAAUCCCCUGGGCCUGCACUGACGCUCAUGCACGAAAGCGUGGGGAGCAAACAGG